rnacentral:lncRNA from 1 species
CGAAGCUGGUGGUCUGAGUCGACCGCGUGUGACUGCCCUUGGCCCCCCCAGCCAUCAGCCUGGGAGGUGCAUCUCUGGGACGCAGGGAGCAAGGUGUUUGUGGAGGGGAGAGACUCUGGGGUACCUCCUCUUCGCGACCAGUCCAACUCUGUGUUGGAUGGCGUAGACGGGUACACCGUGGCUCUCGGAGGUUGGCAGGUGACUCGUUAGUCAUUCUGUAAGUGGCAGAACUACAUUGGAGACCCAGGUGUGCUCCUCCACACCCCAUACCUUGUCCAGGAGCAGAUAAAGUUUUUUCGAGCUUGGUGGUGAGUUGGGCUGGGGCAGCAAACCACCAGAAAGUGAGAAUACAGAGAAACAAGGCUAAAAUAUGGUGGGGGGGGGGGUGAGGAAGGGGGAGCCCUACCGCUCAAUAUCAAUUACAGACCCUAUCAGGGAAAGCUGUGUGGAUCACUCCUGCGACUCAGCCAGUGAGAAACCGCCAUCACCCUGAACUCUUGCUUUUGUCUGGUGGACGUCGGUUCAAAAAAAUCUCUCCCGGUUUUUUCUUUCCACAAAAUAAAGAUUUC